CCCUGGUUAGCUCAAUUAGUAGAGCGUUCCACUGUAAAUGGAGGGGUUCCUUGUUCAAUACCAGGACCAGGUG
rnacentral:tRNA from 2 species